rnacentral:rRNA from 1 species
AACCACUGGAAACGGUGGCUAAUACCCAAUGUGCCGAGAGGUGAAAGGCUUGCUGCCUGAAGAAGAGCUUGCGUCUGAUUAGCUAGUUGGUGGGGUAAGAGCCUACCAAGGCGACGAUCAGUAGCUGGUCUGAGAGGAUGAUCAGCCACACUGGGACUGAGACACGGCCCAGACUCCUACGGGAGGCAGCAGUGGGGAAUUUUCCGCAAUGGGCGAAAGCCUGACGGAGCAAUACCGCGUGAGGGAGGAAGGCUCUUGGGUUGUAAACCUCUUUUCUCAGGGAAGAACAAAAUGACGGUACCUGAGGAAUAAGCAUCGGCUAACUCCGUGCCAGCAGCCGCGGUAAUACGGAGGAUGCAAGCGUUAUCCGGAAUGAUUGGGCGUAAAGGGUCCGCAGGUGGCAUUGUAAGUCUGCUGUUAAAGAGUUUGGCUCAACCAAAUAAAAGCAGUGGAAACUACAAAGCUAGAGUGUGGUCGGGGCAGAGGGAAUUCCUGGUGUAGCGGUGAAAUGCGUAGAUAUCAGGAAGAACACCGGUGGCGAAGGCGCUCUGCUAGGCCAAGACUGACACUGAGGGACGAAAGCUAGGGGAGCGAAUGGGAUUAGAUACCCCAGUAGUC